GAGUUUGAUCUUGGCUCAGGAUGAACGCUGGCGGCGUGCUUAACACAUGCAAGUCGAACGAAGCGCCUUAUUUGAUUUUCUUCGGAACUGAAGAUUUGGUGACUGAGUGGCGGACGGGUGAGUAACGCGUGGGUAACCUGCCCUGUACAGGGGGAUAACAAUCAGAAAUGACUGCUAAUACCGCAUAAGACCACAGCACCGCAUGGUGCAGGGGUAAAAACUCCGGUGGUACAGGAUGGACCCGCGUCUGAUUAGCUGGUUGGUGAGGUAACGGCUCACCAGGGCGACGAUCAGUAGCCGGCUUGAGAGAGUGAACGGCCACAUUGGGACUGAGACACGGCCCAAACUCCUACGGGAGGCAGCAGUGGGGAAUAUUGCACAAUGGGGGAAACCCUGAUGCAGCAACGCCGCGUGAGUGAAGAAGUAUUUCGGUAUGUAAAGCUCUAUCAGCAGGGAAGAAAGUGACGGUACCUGACUAAGAAGCCCCGGCUAACUACGUGCCAGCAGCCGCCGUAAGACCG
rnacentral:rRNA from 1 species